UACGUAGGGUGCGAGCGUUAAUCGGAAUUACUGGGCGUAAAGGGUGCGCAGGCGGCGUCGCAAGUCAGGCGUGAAAUCCCCGGGCUUAACCUGGGAACUGCACUUGAAACUACGAUGCUGGAGUAUGGCAGAGGGAGGUGGAAUUCCACGUGUAGCGGUGAAAUGCGUAGAGAUGUGGAGGAACACCGAUGGCGAAGGCAGCCUCCUGGGCCAAUACUGGCGCUCAUGCACGAAAGCGUGGGGAGCAAACAGG
rnacentral:rRNA from 1 species